rnacentral:rRNA from 1 species
CCCUUAGAUGUUCUGGGCCGCACGCGCGCUACACUGAUGCAUUCAACGAGUUUCUUCCUGGUCCGAGAGGAAUGGGUAACCUUUUGAAAGUGCAUCGUGAUAGGGAUAGACUAUUGCAAUUAUUGGUCUUCAACGAGGAAUUCCUAGUAGACGUAGUUCAUCAGACUGCAUCGAUUACGUCCCUGCCCUUUGUACACACCGCCCGUCGCUCCUACCGAUUGAAUGCUCAGGUGAGCCAUUCGGACUUUCAUCAUGCUGGUUUCCAGUUUUGAUGAAGGAAAGUCUUGCGAACCUUAUCAUUUAGAGGAAGGAGAAGUCGGAACA